UAAAGCGCGCGUAGGUGGUUUGUUAAGUUGGAUGUGAAAGCCCUGGGCUCAACCUAGGAACUGCAUCCAAAACUAACUCACUAGAGUACGAUAGAGGGAGGUAGAAUUCAUAGUGUAGCGGUGGAAUGCGUAGAUAUUAUGAAGAAUACCCAGUGGCGAAGGCGGCCUCCUGGAUCUGUACUGACACUGAGGUGCGAAAGCGUGGGUAGCGAACAGGAUUAGAUACCCUGGUAGUCCACGCCGUAAACGAUGACAACUAGCUGUUAGGAGACUAUGUCUUUUAGUGGCGCAGCUAACGUUUUAAGUUGUCCGCCUGGGGAGUACGGCCGCAAGGCUAAAACUCAAAUGAAUUGACGGGGACCCGCACAAGCAGUGGAUCAUGUGGUUUAAUUCGAUGCAACGCGAAAAACCUUACCUACUCUUGACAUACUUGGAAGCUCUUGUAAUGAGAGUGUGCUUUUAAGAACCAAGAUACAGGUGCUGCAUGGCUGUCGUCAGCUCGUGUCGUGAGAUGUUCCGUUAAGUCGGAUAACGAGCGCAACCCUUACCCUUAUUUGCCAGCGAUUCGGUCGGGAACUAUAAGGGGACUGCCGGUGAUAAACCGGAGGAAGGUGAGGACGACGUCAAGUCAUCAUGGCCCUUACGAGUAGGGCUACACACGUGAUACAAUGGGAGAGACAGACGGACGCUAAGCCGCGAGGUGGUGCUAAUCCUAGAAACUCUCUCGUAGUCCGGAUUGGAGUCUGCAACUCGACUCCAUGAAGUUGGAAUUGCUAGUAAUCGCGGAUCAGCAUGCCGCGGUGAAUACGUUCUCGGGUCUUGUACACACCGCCCGUCACACCAUGGAAGUGGAUUGCACCAGAAGUAGAUAGUCUAACCUUAGGGAAGGCGUUUACCACGGUGUGCUUCAUGACUGGGGUGAAGUCGUAACAAGGUAACCAAGGGC
rnacentral:rRNA from 1 species